rnacentral:rRNA from 1 species
UACGUAGGUGGCGAGCGUUGUCCGGAUUUAUUGGGCGUAAAGCGCGCGCAGGCGGUCGCGUAAGUCUGCUGUGAAAUCUCCCUGGCUCAACCGGGAGGGGGCGGCGGAGACUGCGGGACUGGAGGGACCUAGAGGCCGGUGGAAUUCCCGGUGUAGUGGUGAAAUGCGUAGAGAUCAUGAGGAAGACCAGUGGCGAAGGCGGGUCUCUGGACAGUUCCUGACACUGAGACACGAAGGCCAGGGGAGCAAACGGG